AGGAACUGGGAGAGCCUUUGCCCCAUCUUGCCCCUUGAGCUGUAAAUGAUUACUUGUAAAUGAGCUGCUUGGGAGGACAAAAGGGCAACUGACUUACUGACCCACUCAAACAGAGUUAGCAAACACUUGCCUCCUGGGCCAUGCAUGGAGUCGUGAUUGCCCUGAGAAAAUGGACCAAUCCUGCUUGUCUGAAGACAAGCAUGUUUGAGGUCAUAGAAUGUAAACUGAAGUUAAUAAAUUGGGGAAUUUGGUCUCAUGGACAAUGUUACCUAUAUCAUACGUCACCUGAGCAUCAGGGAAGUGAUGCUCUGCAGCACCCAGAGGAACAGUCUGAAUUCUUCAGAUACAGCACGGACACACUCAGUAAAAUGAAGGAAGAAACUCCAAGUCUUGAAUCAUAGUUCUACUUAAAACGCUGAAUGCUGUAAUUGUGUUGCCUGUUGUUGCUAACGGCGGCUACUAGAGGUGAACAGUGGCAGAAGAUGUGACGAUUCACACCUGAAGUGGGAAACGAGUAAGGGAGAGGAAAAUUCCCACAGCAUACAAACUGUAACACGGCAAUGAAAAUGCAUGUAUGGAGUAAAUCAUGCUAUCCCAAGGUUAAUCAAGAAAAAUGGAAAUUACUGAAGAUGCGUAACAAAACACUUCGGGGGAAAAAAAAAUUGAACUGUUGAAGACGUUCUAAAAGAAGGCAGGAUAGUAUCAAAAAGCUUUUGGUUAUUUACACUUUAUUGCACUGAGUCUAUAAGAGAUGUGUCAUGCUUUGUCUCCUACCUGGGCUAUGUAGAGAGAGCAACCACCAAAAUAAUACACUAGCAAUUUGUCUCCCAUCAAAUGUAUGGUUAUACAGAUCCCAUUCCUCAUUUACAAGUGACAUUUCACACAGAAGUGACUUACUGAAAAGUAACCUCCUGGGAAAAUAGCUUCAUGAUCACUGAUCUCAGUGUGCAUAGGCACAGCAGGCAGCUAAAAGGGUGUUAUUCAGAAAUAUAUCUUAUUAUUUAAAACAAAUUAGCUUUAUGCCAUCUUUGUCAUUGUGAAAUACAAUACUAUUUCUCUGACUUUUUGUUUUAAGUAGUAUUCUGAUAUUAAGCAGUAUUCUGAUAGCUAGUUAGGCAUUCUGUAGUAUUGGGCUGUGAUGUAUUUGACUCAGACAAAAUGUUUAAUUUUUUUCCCACAGAUAGGUCUCAGACCUGCUCUUCCCCCUCAUCCCCCAACUGUGAGGAAAACCUUACAUAACUGCAGCGUGGCAGUGAUGUUUGGCUUUGCACAGAGAACGGCAGCUCUCAUUUCCAUUAAGGAGACUACACCCACUUUAAUCAUCUGCACUUUACUGAUAUAUUUAUGUGUAUGUUUAGGUUAGACCAGAGAGCAUAUUUUAUUCAUUAUGAAGAAAUUAGAACCCAGGUGUGAUAUUUCAGUUCUUGCCUGGAGUUACGGUGUGUCUCUUGGCUAUUUGCUUCCAGUAAGGUGGAUGCUUGCCUGGGGGAAAUCUUGCUGAAAAGUCAGGACCUGCAGGUAUUCUGCCUCCAGUCCUUUGGUCCCAACCAGAUCUCAGGCCCCAGCCUUUCCAUUCCCUGAUACCAUUUUGGGGGUCAUGAACCUUCACUGCCCUGAUGGAGGCAGAGUGCACAGAGUGUGUGCUUCUUGCACCUUGGUAGACCUUUCUCCAGGAACCCCAAAUGAGAAUGCUGGUUCAUUCCUUGAUGAAACAAAAAUUUCAGUUUUUAGUUGAAAGUCUAGCAACAAAAAUGUACUUAUAAAAUAAAAUUUAAAUCACAAUUGUGAUUCAAAAAUUAAGAUGUGUUUAACAGUCUAUUAAAUAAUGCUUGGCAAUGCAUGGGGGGCUGAAUCUUAUAGCUGUCUGAGACUACAAAUUGUUGCUCUAUUAUGAGUUCAUCAGCAGGCUGUUCCCUGGCCUGACAACAUAAUGCCUGUCAGAGGAGCUAAAGGCUGCAAUUAUCCAGAUAGAUUAGUAAAGCCAUGAUUUCUGAUAGGUAACCUGUGUGAUAUGGAGUCCACAACUGACACAUGAAUGAUGUUAAGGACAGACUCAUCAGCAAUGUACUUUGCACCAGCAUGUUGCAUCUUCUAAGUCCAAAAUAUUGUAAAUUCAGGAUGAAGGUUUCACACAACUAAUGCAUGACUACAUGGAAUGCUCUUUUCAAAAAAGCAAAAAUGUUGUAAUUUAUUAUUAUUUUUUUAAAUUUUAAUCCACCCAAAAUCACAAAAUCUAGAGUCUACUUGUCUGUUUCUCUUGAGCCAUGAAAAUCCCAGUCUAAAACUAUUUUUAAAAGCCCUGGGAUAUUCUACUCUAAUAAUGCACUUCUUUCAAGCAAAUCAUCACUUCCACACACCUCUAAUUGUGUCUACAGAGAGGCAGGCCCAAGCUGCCAUCCCGUGUUCCUAAUUUCCCACAACAGGUGACAGUGGAAGUUCCUGAGCCCUGGCCAUGACUUGUGGAAGUCCUUUUCUCAUUGCUGCCCUAUUUUUUUUUCUCUUUCAUGUUUUUCAGUCCUUUCCUUAGGGACAAAUGCAUUUAUUUAAUAAGCACUGAAUUUAGGGAAUCUUUUGUAACCUGCUCAAAGGGCCUGGAGCCCUGGUGUAUAAAAGCAUUGAUAAGUCCUAAUUCAUCCUCAAUGACAAAGGCACAUGCAUCUUUUAGAAAGGAAAUUACAAUCUAAAUUUAAAUCAACAGGAAAAAUUAUCUGAAGAGACUGCUUAAGUGUUGCAAACUCAUUUUCUGAAGUGUGUGGGAUCUUACUAAUAUGUCUGGGGGAAAGAAAACCAGUGAUGAGAUUCUGACCAUGAAACAUUCACAAAAUUACAUUUCAUUCAGAAAGAUAAAAACACAUGAAGAUGAGUGUUUCAAGUGAAAGUGGCUUGUUUUCUUUCUGCCCUGGAAACAUUUCUGGUGGACUUAUAAACUCGAUGUGUGCAUGUAUCUAGCAGAAGUUUGGAUAUGUGUGCAUACACACACUGCACACACUGCACACACUCACACAUACCUGCUCAAAUGAGUACCUGACAGCCUUUCCUUUCUGACAGGUGAUAUCGAGCUGGGUGCAGAACAGUUGUGACCUGCUUACAUCUAGCAUGCAGGUCCAGGCAGCUGACAUGAUAUUCUGCUGGAAUGAAGAAUGAAGUGGGUUUCUCUCUGUCUUGAGGAUCUGAUUUUUUAUGGGAAGGCUUUUCUCUGCUGGGAUCAUGUGUGCAGUCUGUAACAUCUAACAUGAAUUCAUGCCUGAAAACUACUAUCAAGGGUUUUGGAUCUUGCUGUUGGUGUUCAGCUUUUCCAUAGACACAAAUACUGUGAUUACCUUUCCUCUGAACAGCACCUCUACAUCGGUCAGGGCAGCUAUUUCUGCCAAGCAAGAACAAAGGACAAUGAGCAGUGUACAGGAAUCGCACAAUUGUUGAAGAAAUCUUCACGAGCUCUUCUUGAAAAUAACGAAACACUGUGAUCUUUUCCUGUAAUGUGUGCCAUAUUAGUUGGGAAGAUGCUGAGAUUUCAUAAAGUUGUAAGAAUGCCCAAUGCAUGCAAUAGCCUAGUUCUGCCUUUGAGAACAGCAGCCUCCUACACCUUCAGCAGCCCUGCGACCGUGCAUUUCAAACAGUACUUUCCAAGCUUCCUCUAGUCUUCUCCAAACCUCCCAGCUUUUGAAACUGAAGUAAUUAAUCAGUUAGGCAUCAGCAACUAGUAAAAUUUUAUCAAUACCUUCUCAUACCAAAUCUUCAAAACCAAUUGUGGAUGAUAGCUUUGCUUCAGUUGUGGGUCUUGAAAUGCCUGUGACUAUGGACUCCCCUGAGCACUCUUAGUCCCUAGGCCCUUAAAAAGGUUGAAAAAUGUUUUUUUGUCAUUGAAACUUCUUGCAGUGAAAUGAAUUUUUAACAGUCUU
rnacentral:lncRNA from 1 species